rnacentral:rRNA from 1 species
UACAGAGGGGGCUAGCGUUAUUCGGAAUUAUUGGGCGUAAAGGGCUCGUAGGCGGCCAACUAAGUCGGAUGUGAAAUCCCCAGGCUCAACCUGGGAACUGCGUCUGAUACUGGAUGGCUUGAAUCCGGGAGAGGGAUGCAGAAUUCCAGGUGUAGCGGUGAAAUGCGUAGAUAUCAGGAGGAACACCAAUGGCGAAGGCAGAUCUCUGGGCCGUAACUGACGCUGAGGAGCGAAAGCAUGGGGAGCGAACAGG